rnacentral:rRNA from 1 species
UACGGAGGGUGCAAGCGUUAUCCGGAUUCACUGGGUUUAAAGGGUGCGUAGGAGGGCAGGUAAGUCAGUGGUGAAAUCCCCGAGCUUAACUUGGGAACUGCCGUUGAUACUAUCUGUCUUGAAUGUUGUGGAGGUGAGCGGAAUAUGUCAUGUAGCGGCGAAAUGCUUAGAUAUGACAUAGAACACCAAUUGCGAAGGCAGCUCGCUACACAAUUAUUGACACUGAGGCGCGAAAGCGUGGGGAGCGAACAGG